UAAAGGGCUGCAGUAUAUUGACUGUACAAAGGUAGCAUAAUCAUUAGUCUUUUAAUUGAAGACUUGUAUGAAGGAUUUGAUGAAAUAUGAACUGUCUCUGAUUUAUAAAUAGAAAUUAAUUUUUUAAUUAAAAAGUUAAAAUAUUAUUAAAAGACGAGAAGACCCUAUAGAGUUUUAUAAUUUAUUUAUUUAAUUAAUAAGUAUAUAUUUUAAUUUAAUAAAUAAUUAAAUUAUUAUGUUGGGGUGAUAAAAAAAUUUAAUAAACUUUUUUUUAAUUUGAAACACAAAUAAGUGAUAAAAUGAUCCAUUACUAAUGAUUAAAAGAAAAAAUUACCUUAGGGAUAACAGCGUAAUAUUUUUUUUUAGUACAAAUAAAAAAAAAAGUUUGCGACCUCGAUGUUGGAUUAAGAUAAAAUUUAAAUGCAAAAGUUUAAAAGUUUUGAUCUGUUCGAUCAUUAAAAUCUUACAUGAUCUGAGCUC
rnacentral:rRNA from 1 species